UACGUAGGGUGCAAGCGUUGUCCGGAAUUAUUGGGCGUAAAGAGCUCGUAGGCGCCUGUCGCGUCGGCUGAUGAAACCUGGGCUCAACCCGGGCCUGCAGCCGAUACGGGCAGGCUAGAAUUCGGUAGGGGAGAGUGGAAUUCCUGGGUGUAGCGGUGUAAAUGCGCAGGAUAAUCGAGGAGGAACACCGAUGGCGAAGGCAGGUCUCUGGCCACUGACUGACGCUGAGAAGCGAAAGCAUGGGAGCGAACAGGAUAGACUACCGGAGUAGUC
rnacentral:rRNA from 1 species